UACGAAGGGGGCUAGCGUUGCUCGGAAUUACUGGGCGUAAAGGGCGCGUAGGCGGCACUGUUAGUCAGGCGUGAAAGUCCUGGGCUCAACCUGGGAACUGCGCUUGAUACGGCAGAGCUAGAGGAUGGAAGAGGGUCGCGGAAUUCCCAGUGUAGAGGUGAAAAUUCGUAGAUAUUGGGGAAGAACACCGGUGGCGAAGGCGGCGACCUGGUCCAUUACUGACGCUGAGGCGCGACAGCGUGGGGGAGCAAACAGG
rnacentral:rRNA from 1 species